rnacentral:rRNA from 1 species
CCUACGGGAUGCAGCAGUGAGGAAUAUUGGUCAAUGGACGAGAGUCUGAACCAGCCAAGUAGCGUGAAGGAUGAAUGCCCUAUGGGUUGUAAACUUCUUUUAUAUGGGAAUAACAUGUUCCACGUGUGGGAUUUUGUAUGUACCAUAUGAAUAAGGAUCGGCUAACUCCGUGCCAGCAGCCGCGGUAAUACGGAGGAUCCGAGCGUUAUCCGGAUUUAUUGGGUUUAAAGGGAGCGUAGGUGGGUUGUUAAGUCAGUUGUGAAAGUUUGCGGCUCAACCGUAAAAUUGCAGUUGAAACUGGCAGUCUUGAGUACAGUAGAGGUGGGCGGAAUUCGUGGUGUAGCGGUGAAAUGCUUAGAUAUCACGAAGAACUCCGAUUGCGAAGGCAGUUCACUGGACUGCAACUGACACUGAGGCUCGAAAGUGUGGGUAUCAAACAGGAUUAGAUACCCGAGUAGUC